rnacentral:rRNA from 1 species
AGAGUUUGAUCCUGGCUCAGAACGAACACUGGCGGCGUGGAUUAGGCAUGCAAGUCGAACGAGAAAGUUUCCUUCGGGAGACGAGUACAGUGGCGAACGGGUGAGUAACGCGUGGGAAAUCUGCCCUUUAAUGGGGGAUAACAGAUCUAACGAUCUGCUAAUACCGCAUAAGCCCUCUAGGUUGCAUGACCCGGAGGGGAAAGAUGGCCUCUACAUGUAAGCUGUCGUUGAAGGAUGAUCCCGCGUCCCAUUAGCUAGUUGGUGGGGUAAAAGCCUACCAAGGCGACGAUGGGUAGCCGGCCUGAGAGGGUGUCCGGCCACACUGGGACUGAGAUACGGCCCAGACUCCUACGGGAGGCAGCAGUCGAGAAGCUUCCGCAAUGGGGGAAACCCUGACGGAGCGACGCCGCGUGAGUGAAGAAGGCCCUAUGGGUUGUAAAGCUCUGUCAGAUUGGGAAGAAAACUCUACGGGUAAUAUCCGUAGAGCUUGACGGUACCAUCAGAGGAAGCACCGGCUAACUCCGUGCCAGCAGCCGCGGUAAUACGGAGGGUGCAAGCGUUGUUCGGAUUCACUGGGUAUAAAGGGUGCGCAGGCGGCCCAAUAAGUCAGAGGUGAAAUAUGACGGCUCAACCGUCAAACGGCCCCUGAAACUGUUGGGCUUGAGUUCGAGAGAGGUAGGUGGAAUUCCAGGUGUAGCGGUGAAAUGCGUAAAUAUCUGGAGGAACACCGGUGGCGAAGGCGGCCUACUGGCUCGAUACUGACGCUCAGGCACGAAAGCAUGGGGAGCGAACGGGAUUAGAUACCCCGGUAGUCCAUGCCGUAAACGAUGGGUACUAGGUGUUGGGGGAGUCUACCCCCUCAGUGCCGCAGCUAACGCAUUAAGUACCCCACCUGGGGAGUACGAUCGCAAGGUUGAAACUCAAAGGAAUUGACGGGGGCCCGCACAAGCGGUGGAGCAUGUGGUUUAAUUCGAUGCAACGCGAAGAACCUUACCUGGGCUUGACAUGCAGGGGACAGGUGUAGAAAAAUACAUCCUUCUUCGGACUCCUGUACAGGUGCUGCAUGGCUGUCGUCAGCUCGUGUCGUGAAAUGUUGGGUUAAGUCCCGCAACGAGCGCAACCCUUGUCUUUAGUUGCCAUCAGGUUAUGCUGGGGACUCUAGAGAGACUGCCGGUGACAAACCGGAGGAAGGUGGGGACGACGUCAAGUCAUCAUGGCCCUUACGCCCAGGGCUACACACGUGCUACAAUGGUCGGUACAAAGGGCUGCAAUACAGCGAUGUGGAGCGAAUCCCAAAAAGCCGGCCUCAGUUCGGAUCGUAGUCUGCAACUCGACUACGUGAAGUUGGAAUCGCUAGUAAUCGCGUAUCAGAACGACGCGGUGAAUACGUUCCCGGGCCUUGUACACACCGCCCGUCAAGUCAACCGAAUUGGUUGCACCCCAAGUCGCUGAGCUAACCUCUUCGGAGGAGGCAAGUGCCCAAGGUGUGAUUAGCGAGGGGGACUAAGUCGGAACAAGGUAACC